GAGUUUGAUCCUGGCUCAGAUUGAACGCUGGCGGCAGGCCUAACACAUGCAAGUCGAACGGUAACAGGAAGAAGCUUGCUUCUUUGCUGACGAGUGGCGGACGGGUGAGUAAUGUCUGGGAAACUGCCUGAUGGAGGGGGAUAACUACUGGAAACGGUAGCUAAUACCGCAUAACGUCGCAAGACCAAAGAGGGGGACCUUCGGGCCUCUUGCCAUCGGAUGUGCCCAGAUGGGAUUAGCUAGUAGGUGGGGUAACGGCUCACCUAGGCGACGAUCCCUAGCUGGUCUGAGAGGAUGACCAGCCACACUGGAACUGAGACACGGUCCAGACUCCUACGGGAGGCAGCAGUGGGGAAUAUUGCACAAUGGGCGCAAGCCUGAUGCAGCCAUGCCGCGUGUAUGAAGAAGGCCUUCGGGUUGUAAAGUACUUUCAGCGGGGAGGAAGGGAGUAAAGUUAAUACCUUUGCUCAUUGACG
rnacentral:rRNA from 1 species